GGGUCAUGAGUGUUGACACAAGAGGUCCACAGGCAAAAUAUGAGGAGUGAGGAAGGCAUGACUGUUCCUUUUGAUUUUCUGCAAUCUUUAUGGGACUAGCUUAGAAAACCUAAAAGGAGUUUUCUCUAUGUGGACUGACAGUGUUAUUAAACAAGGACAAGGACAGAGGUAAAUAUGAAAGAAACCAUAGCUCCUGGCUCUGUGUUCCUGCUGAGUUUGAAAGUUAGUGGAAUGUGGGAGUCAUUUCUCUUCUCAAAGUCCAUCUAGGUCCUAAGGUCUAUGUCACCAGUUUUCCUCAAGAAGAGAAGAGUUAUAAUAACAGGAAACAACUGACAUCCUGAGGGAGGCAGCACCAGCUUGACUGAUGGGCUUAGCUGUGUUCUGUGGUGGGUCUUCUGGAAUCAUCUGGAAUCAUCAGACUGGACCCAAGACUGAUCCCUGGGGACAUUACCAGUAUCCUCUUGGCUGGCUGGUGAUGUGCCUGAAACAACAGGACACGCUCAGCCCUCCUGCCUUCCAGGUCACUGCUGAUUCACGUUCAGCUUUCAGCCAACCAGGAUCCCCACAUCCCCUUCUGCUGCUCUGCUUUCCAGCAUCUCAAUCCCCAGUCUGUCCAUACACCCAGGGUAACCCCACCCCAGGUACGAAAUCCAGCAUUUUCCCUUGUUGAUCUUCACAUGGUUGGUGAUUGCUCAGCCCUCUGACUUGUCCAGGUCUCUCUGCAGGGUCUCCCUGACCUUGAGGAAGUCAACAGCUCCUUAUAGUUUUAUAUCUUCUGCAAACUUGCUUAGUAUACCUUGCAUUCCAGUGUCUAAGGCAUUUAUGAAGGUGUUGAAGAGCUCAGGGCUGAGGAUGGAGCCCUGUGGAGCCCCACUGGUGACAGAUCACCACUCUGAUGUCACCCCAUUCACUGUAACUCUCUGUGCCUCAUCCAUGAGCCAGCUGCUCACCCAUUCCAUUAUGUGUUUAUCCAGCUGAAUCCUGGAACUUUUGUUCCAAAAGAUCCUAUGAGAGACAAAACUUUUACUGAAAUAAAAAAAAAAUUAUAUUAGCUGGUUUUCUUGACCAUCUAAGUGGGUUAAAUUCUAGGUCACAAUUUUUUAUUACAAACCCUCUUUACAAAUUUAAGUUGAAGCUGAGAGAGUGUUCUCCCAUUUCCCUCUACUUUCAUAUUUUAAUUUCUUUGUCAUAUUCACUGAUACCUUGUUUGAAAGUACUUUGUAGAGUUCUAGAAAGACUAAUAAAAUAUUUUAUUUCCCUUGUUCCCCAGAUGAUCAUUAAUGAGCAGUAAAAUAAUUCAAAAUAAUACAGAUUGGUAGAAUAUCUUUUAAUCCUUUCCAAGACAAAACCACAAGAUGUAAUUAUUCUCUUAGCAUUCCAAGUGUCUGAUUGCUAGCAGUCUCACAUCUCUAGAUGCCUGUAAUUAUGCACUGUAAUUUGUUAGCACAUUUGAUUAAUUCAGAGAGACCACAUGUUUCUCCUCAUACAAAGAUAUAUGUAAUGGCAUGGAUCUCUUACUUCAUACAGUACACUAAUUGCUAAAUUUUGGGUUGUGUAACAGCAUAACAUUUGAAAAAUCAGCAAAGAGAUUAACUCUCCCA